rnacentral:misc_RNA from 1 species
GAUGAAGAACGUAGCGAAAUGCGAUAAGUAAUGUGAAUUGCAGAAUUCAGUGAAUCAUCGAAUCUUUGAGCGCACCUUGCGCCCUUUGGACAUUCCGAAGGGCAUGCCUGUUUGAGUAUCAUGAACACCUCAACUCUCACGGCUUGUCCGUGAUGAGCUUGGACUUUGGGGGUCUUGCCGGCCUGUGGUCGGCUCCUCUCAAAUGGAUCAGCUUGCCAGUGUUUGGUGGCAUCACAGGUGUGAUAACUAUCUGCGCUUGUGGUUUUCCAUCAGAUAACCUUCAGUGAUAUGGAGGUUCGCUGGAGCUCACAAAUGUCUCUCCUUAGUGAGGACAGCUCUUUGAACGUUUGAUCUCAAAUCAGGUAGGACUACCCGCUGAACUUAAGCAUAUCAAUAAGCGGAGGA